CAGCGAAAGACUGUGCUAAUACCGCAUACGAUCUGCGGNUANAAGGACGGGGACCGUUAGGCCUCGCGCGAUUGGAGCGGCCGAUGUCAGAUUAGGUAGUUGGUGGGGUUAAAAGGCCCCACCAAGCCAACGAUCUGUAGCUGGUCUGAGAGGACGACCAGCCACACUGGGACUGAGACACGGCCCAGACUCCUACGGGAGGCAGCAGUGGGGAAUUUUGGACAAUGGGCGCAAGCCUGAUCCAGCAAUGCCGCGUGCAGGAAGAAGGCCUUCGGGUUGUAAACUGCUUUUGUACGGAACGAAAAAGUCCGGGUUAAUACCCUGGGCCCAUGACGGUACCGUAAGAAUAAGCACCGGCUAACUACGUG
rnacentral:rRNA from 1 species